UCUUAAAGAAGAAUUAGAGAAAUUUUUCUUUGGCGAAGGUUCUGCACCACCAGCAGAUUUUGUAGCUGAAUAAUUUUAAUUAAAACAAGUAAAGUAUAGAGGUAGUUAUGGCAGAGCAAGUUACUGGAACCGUUAAAUGGUUCAACGACGCAAAAGGUUUCGGAUUUAUUGAGCAAUCAAAUGGCCCAGAUGUAUUCGUACAUCACAGUGCGAUCCAAUCUGAAGGUUUCAAAUCUUUGGCUGAAGGUCAAUCUGUAACGAUGGAAGUUACACAAGGUGCUAAAGGUCCACAAGCUGAGAACGUAGUUCCAGCAUAAGACUAUUAAAACCGUCUAAUAGAGAAAGC
rnacentral:sRNA from 1 species